GGGGAGUGUGUGUGCAACUGGAACACUCCUCUGACGCAUCGUGGGUUCCGUUCCCCGACUCACUUCUCAUUGCCUGGAAAGCAUAGGAAAAUUUCAGUUCCUGCCCUUGAUAGGCAGUCCAGCAAAACUUACAUAUGACUUUGCUGCCUGAAAUUCUUUCUGGAACAGGGCAAGGUAUAAAUAAAUAAAUAACCGGGCGUCUGUGAUCCCAGCUACUCAGGAGGCUGAGGCAGAGAAUUGCUUCAACUCGGGAGACGGAGGUUGCAGUGAGCCAAGAUUGUGCCACUGCACUCCAGCCUGGGCAGUAGAGUGUGACCCAUUCUAUGAAUUGUUAAUUAAGGUGCCAAAAAAAAUUAAUAAUAAAGCUUGGUUUUUUGAAAAACCCAUUGCUGAUAUAUUGGUUCAAUAUGAUCAAUUUCCUCUGCCUUGAGCUAUGUAAAUCAUGAUAGUAUACAAGUCCAGGUAUAGAGCGGUAUGCAUUUAUUCCUUUUGGUCUUCUUGACCUACACCUUGGGAAUAUUACUUCUUUUUCUGUCAUUUCCUUUUUUGGAAUUAUGUACUAAUAACUGACCCUAUUUUAUCUAGCAAGAGAUGUGAAAGUGUAUUAAAAUCUUUGAAAGACACAAUAGGCCGUGCUUAGUGGCUCAUGCCUGCAGUCCCAACACUUUGGGAGGCUGAGGUGGGAGGAUUGUUUAAGUCCAGGAGUUCAAGACCAGCCUGGGCAACAUAGUGAGACCCCCAUGUCUAAAACAAAUUUUUUUGGCCAGGCGCGGUGGCUCACGUCUUACCAGCCUGGCCAACAUGGCAAAACCCUGUCUCCACUAAAAUUACAAAAAUUAGCUGGGCAUGGUGGUGUGUGCCUGUAAUCCCAGCUACCCAAGAGGCGGCUGGGGCAGGAGAAUUGCUGGAACCCAGGAGGCAGAGGCUGCAGUGAGCCGAGAUCACUCCAGCCUGGGCGACAGAGUAAGACUCUGUCUCAAAAAAAAAAAAAAUUUUUUUUUAAAUUUUUCAGGCAUGGUGGCACAUGUCUGUAGUCCCAGCUACUCAGGAGGCUAGGUUUUUUGGCCUUGGGAAGGUCCUUCACCCGCUCUGAACCUCAGUAUCCCCACCUGUAAAACAAAAGAACUGGACAUGUCACUGUAGUUUUCAAACUAUGCUUGAUAGCAGUUCCUUAGCGAAGAGCUUCCCAGCUGGUGUGCCUUGGCAUGAUGACCUCAUUAGCCCUCCCAGACAAGGCCUGUGGUGGGUGAGCCCCCAGGAGCGGUUCCAUUCACAUUUCCUCUCCUUACCUUUGCCUUAAAAAUGGCAUAAUUCAUCCGGGUGUGGUGGCUCAUGCCUGUAAUCCCAGAACUUCGGGAGGCCGAAGCUAGUGGAUCACAAGGUCAGGAGUUCGAGACCAGCCUGCUGCAUGGCGAAUCUCUGCCGUCUCUCUGAACGCAGAAGGGUCUGAGACUGGCCGUCUCCUUUUCUUUCCUUGUAAUAAACAUUUUUCUUUCUUCCUAGUUGUGAUUUGCUUGUAAAUAAUAGGUAAAUGCAGUGCUUGCAUGGUAUGUGGCUCAAAUCAAAUAACUUAAUAGCUUAGCGUUCUUGUUUGUGUGUGUGUUUCCUGGGACUGGGUCUUUCGAGUCGAGAUACAGUGUCAAAAAUUCUACCA
rnacentral:lncRNA from 1 species